UGGUGUCUGGGAGGCUGAGGUGGGUGCCUGCUGAGAGCCAGCACUUGGUCCCCAAGAGAGAUUUUUGCUGAUGCUCUCCAGCAACUUGAUUUAUGAUCAAACACCUUUCUCUGCAUUUCAGUUAAGGAAGAAAUUAAGAGACAAGUAUUUUUUUCUUUCAACUCUUUUGUUCUCUUCCCUGAGCUUGGUGUAUUGGUUCCAUUCAACAUCUGAAAAGCAAGUCUGGUAAAGAUUAUCUUCUAGAAGUGAAAAGGAAGGAAGCCUCUCAGGGGGGACUCUCCACGCAGAUUGUGAAGCUCUUUCCACAGGCUGCUGGGCGGGAAAGGUAUUGCCCCAUGAUGCCAUACAAAUUACCUAUGGAAGAUGUUCACCCUCUAUCUCAGACCUUUUUCAAAUGAAAGGCAGUGAAAUGGACCUUGGAACUGGAAGAAUAGAACAUCUCUCAGGCUACCUUGGAACAGCUCCUGCCUGUAGCCUCAUCUUUGGCUGCAUGGUAAGGACCCCAGGAAAACACACUUCUGGAAUAAGUAGAACACUCUGAAUGUUUUCCAGCCAGGAUGUCUUCAUGAAUUGGAAAAGCUCCCCAUUCUUGGUGAUUUUGUAUUUCAUAAAUCUCUGUUCCUGGUAGUAAUUUCUGUGUUACUCGGGUUUCUUUGGUUACACGAAAUAGACUCGCAUGCAUUAACUCAGGUUAUGAGGGGCUUGUGAUCCCAGGCAUAUCCAAA